rnacentral:lncRNA from 13 species
AUGAAAAUGCGUUCGUUGCUAUGGAAAUUGAAGGAGCUUUUUCCCCCAGACACAAAUGCUGAGUCCAGAGCAGAGAGAAAACCCUGGGUCUGGAGGAGCAGCACCGCUGACUGUCUUGGAUUUGGGGACUUGGAAAUGUCCCUGAAUUUUGAAGCGUCCCUGUAUUUUCAUCGAGCUCUGAACCACAGAAAUGAGUCAUUUGACAGGGCUGAUGGACUUCAAGCACCUGUACCGACCUCCAGGAGUCACCUGAGGCCACACUCUGCUCGUAUCUCAGUAGCUGAGACAAUUUUCCUGGGAAAUCUGGAGUAUUCCUGCCCUGGGUGGUGCUGCAGCCUCUGCCACACUGCUGGAGAUCAGGUGCUGCCACUGGGCUCUGAACAUCUGAGACCCACAGCACCAGAAAAAUGUCCCAGCCAGCUCUCCUUGGGCACAGGGCUUUGCCUGGGUGGGUCUCAGAGUUGCUUUUUCUCUGAGAAAAGGAUUUUGUUAAAAUUUUUUUACUAA